GUAUGCUGACUCAUAAUAACUUCACGAAUCGCAUGGCCUUGUGCUGGCGAUGAAUCAUUCAAAUUUCUGCCCUAUCAACUUUUGAUGGUACGUUAGAGGCCUACCAUGGUUAUGACGGGUAACGGAGAAUUAGGGUUCGAUUCCGGAGAGGGAGCCUGAGAAAUGGCUACCACAUCCAAGGAAGGCAGCAGGCGCGCAAAUUGCCCAAUCUCGAUACGAGGAGGCAGCGACAAGAAGUAACAGUGCUGGGCUUUUUCAAGUCUAGCAAUUGGAAUGAGUACAAUUUAAACACCUUAACGAAUUCUAUUGGAGGGCAAGUCUGGUGCCAGCAGCCGCGGUAAUUCCAGCUCCAAUAGCGUAUAUUAAUGCUGUUGCAGUUGAAACGCUCGUAGUUGGACUUCUGGGUGAGUCGCUUGGUCGGCUUCUAGCUGUACCUUGCGGCUUGUCCUUUUGUCCAAGGAAGACUCAGCAAUGGGUCUGACUUGGGCCAGUUACUUUGAGAAAAUUAGGGUGUUCAAAGCAGGCAAGUGCCUUGAAUACGUUAGCAUGGAAUAACGGAAUAGGACUUUGGUUCUAUUUUGUUGGUGUCUAGGACCGAAGUAAUGAUUAAUAGGGACAGUUGGGGGCAUUCAUAUUUAAUUGUCAGAGGUGAAAUUCUUGGAUUUAUUAAAGAUGAACUACUGCGAAAGCAUUUGCCAAGGAUGUUUUCAUUAAUCAAGAACGAAAGUUAGGGGAUCGAAGACGAUCAGAUACCGUCGUAGUCUUAACCAUAAACUAUGCCAACUAGGGAUUGGAGGAUGUGUUUUUUAACUCCUUCAGCACCUAAUGAGAAAUCAAAGUCUUUGGGCUCUGGGGGGAGUACGGUCGCAAGGCUGAAACUUAAAGGAAUUGACGGAAGGGCACCACCAUGGAGUGGGACCUGCGGCUUAAUCUGACACAACACGGAAAAACUUACCAGGUCCAGACAUAGUGAGGAUUGACAGAUUGAGAGCUCUUUCUUGAUUCUAUGGGUGGUGGUGCAUGGCCGUUCUUAGUUGGUGGAGUGAUUUGUCUGCUUAAUUGCGAUAACGAACGAGACCUUAACCUGCUAAAUAGUUGCACAAAGCCUAGCUUUGUAUGCAGCUUCUUAGAGGGACAAUGCAAGUCAAUUGUAUGGAAGUUUGAGGCAAUAACAGGUCUGUGAUGCCCUUAGAUGUUCUGGGCCGCACGCGUGUCACACUGACGAUUGCAGAGAGUAUUUCCUGGACCGAAAGGUUUGGGUAAUCUCACAAAUUUCGUCGUGAUGGGGAUUGACCAUUGUAAUUAUUGGUCAUGAACGAGGAAUUCCUUGUAGGCGCAAGUCAUCAACUUGCGCCGAAUACGUCCCUGCCCUUUGUACACACCGCCCGUCGCUGCUACCGAUUGGAUGAUCCGGUGAAAUUUUCGGACUGUCGCCCUGGGGUGGCUUGCCGCCGCUGGGUGAUGGGAAGUUGCUUAAACCUUAUUAUCUAGAGGAAGCAAAAGUCGUAACAAGGUU
rnacentral:rRNA from 1 species